rnacentral:rRNA from 1 species
CCUACGUGUGGCAGCAGUGGGGCAUAUUGCACAAUGGGGGAAACCCUGAUGCAGCGACGCCGCGUGAGUGAAGAAGUAUUUCGGUAUGUAAAGCUCUAUCAGCAGGGAAGAAAAUAACGGUACCUGACUAAGAAGCCCCGGCUAACUACGUACCAGCAGACGAGGUAAUACGGAGGGGGCAAGCGUUAUCCGGCAUUACUGGGUGUAAAGGGAGCGUAGGCGGCAAGGUAAGCCAGAAGGGAAAGCCCGCGGCUCAAAUGCGGGACUGCUUUUGGAACUAUCUAGCUAGAUUGCAGGAGAGGUAAGUGGAAUUACUAGUGUAGCGGUGAAAUGCGUAGAUAUUAGGAGGAAAACCAGUGGCGAAGGCGGCUUACUGGACUGUAAAUGACGCUGAGGCUCGAAAGCGUGGGGAGCAAACAGGAUUAGAUACCCGGGUAGUC